rfam:Salmo salar isolate Sally breed double haploid chromosome ssa11, whole genome shotgun sequence.
UAGCUCAGUUGGUAGAGCAUGGUGUUUGCAACGCCAGGGUCGUGGGUUCGAUUCCCAC